UACGUAGGGGGCAAGCGUUAUCCGGAAUUACUGGGCGUAAAGGGUGAGUAGGCGGCCAAAUAAGUCAUAUGUGAAAGCCCGGGGCUUAACUCCGGGAUUGCAUAAGAAACUAUAGGGCUAGAGUACAGGAGAGGUAAGCGGAAUUCCUAGUGUAGCGGUGAAAUGCGUAGAUAUUAGGAAGAACACCAGUGGCGAAGGCGGCUUACUGGACUGAAACUGACGCUGAGGCACGAAAGCGUGGGGAGCGAACAGG
rnacentral:rRNA from 1 species